UGAUAAUUAGUUUAACAAAAAACAAAUGAUUUCGACUCAUUAGAUUAUGACACCCUUCAUAAUUAUCAA
rnacentral:tRNA from 1 species